GAGCAGCUCUGCUGCGGGGCAGGACGUGGGGCUCGACACAGAGCACGCCUUGAAGAACUGCCCCCCACAUGUUUUCUCCCUCCAGAGACUUUCAGGCUGUAAGAUUUGCCCGUGGCAAAGCUGCAAAGGAACCAGCCCCAUAACCAAGAUGUCACAACGCCUCAAGAUCUGAGGGGAAAAAGCAGCUGGGUUAGGUAAAUGACAGGGGAAGAAGGAAGCUCUGUGCGUAGCCCCAUACCCUGCUGCUGCUGAAGAGAGUCGGGCUGCUACCAUCCUGCAUGUGAGCCAGAGGCAUCGAUUCCUCUGUGGCACACGGAAUAUUCUGAGCGUUUCUCCGCUUAUAGUUGUAUCGCCCGUCUGAUCUCUAGGAAUGUUUAUGGACAGUGGGCAGUCUAUUUAUUGUACGUGAUGUCUUUCCAUUAAGACAUCUCUUCCACGACACCCACUGCGGUAUUUGUUUCCAACAAAACUAUAAGCU